UUUUUUUUUUUCUUUUUAGGGCCACAUUUGUGGCAUAUGAAAGUUCCCAGGCUAGGGGUCUAAUCAGAGCUGCAGCUCCAGGUCUACACCACAGCCACAGCCACACCAGAUCCGAGCCACAUGGGCGACCUACACCACAGCUUGCAGCAAUGCCGACUCCUUGACCCACUGAGCAGAGGCCAGGGAUCGAACCCACAUUCUCACAGAGACAAUGUCAAGUCUUCAACCUGCUGAGCCACAACAGGAACUCCCAGAAGUUUAAUUUUAUUAAAAAUUUUUUUUAAUUUUUAGAGUUGCACCCGCAGCACAUGGAGGUUCCCAGGGCAGGGAUCAAAUCAAAGGUACAGCUGCUGGCCUACACCGCAGCCACAGCAACGCCACAUCAAAGCGGCAUCUGUGACCUACACUGCAGCUCACAGCAACACCAGAUCCUUAACACACUGUGUGGGGCCAGGAACUAAACCCAUGUCCUCAUGGGUACUAGCUGGGUUCAUUACUGCUGAGCCACAACGAGAACUCCACAACUCUCAUUUUUCACGACAUAUACGUGGGCAAGAUACGACUGACUUUGAAAACAAAAUUAUUUUUGCCAGGAUGUAAUACCAAAAGGACCAGUCAGUCAUUCCUCUUUGUAGAGAAAUGAAAAUAGCCUUUCCCCUGCUAUUUAUUAAGAAAUAAAUCGACCAGACAUUUGGAAUCUGCUCUGCUAGAUAUAGUUGUUGAGAGUUCAUGGGUUUUAAAGAAAACGUUUCCUAUUCGGAGACUGAUCCAGGGUGUUAAAAUCAGCCGCCUGCCCUCCGGAUUGCUGAGACCAAUCGAGUGCCUCUGUGCACAGCCAGCACACUGAGCAGGCCUUGCACACUCUGCAAGGGACAUGGCCUCGGGAAGUAACAGUGCCCACAGCUUAACAUCUGAGAGGUCAGUUUUUUCCAACAUAUCGAGGUCUGAAGGCUCACAAACGGCUCAGAAUACACACCUGCGGCCUUUAACCCUCUCGUUCCCCUUACAAGGCAAACUGGGGUCUGAGCCAGGAGCCCUCACUUGAAGGUCUUUAAUACCCUGCAGAGGUGUAGUUAACUACAGCUAUGAAAGCCCAGGCUCCCACCGAUCCCAAUUCUCAGUGCUAAAGCCUCGGGGCCUCAGGGCUCCCGCCAAGGCUGAACGUGUCCUCCCUGGGGACAGCCGUUCGCUGCCUGUGCAACACUUUCUAAGGCAGGGCUGGCCAAGCAUGUCCUCAGAGGACCCCUUCCUCAUUCUGAUGGGGCAAGCUCUGAAUGCAUUAAAUGCUAUACAAUGUAGCACAACAGACCUCUCACCCCACCCCCACGAGUUUGUGUUUUCAACCACAGACAGUUCCAAGCAAAAAUACAAAGGAAAAAUAUAUAAGAGUGGCAAAGACAACUGAAUUAAGAUGCAUUGAUAUUAUGUGCAAAAUUGGGGGGCGGGGGUAGAGGGACUCUUAGGAACAAGUAUUUUGAUGGGGAAGGGUCAGAACUGCUGAUUCCUGACUCUAGAUCCUUAGCUACAUGGCAGAGGGCAGAGCACCUGUGACCUUGGAUGCUGCCACAGAAUAAUGAACUAUGUAUUUGUGCCAAGUGCCUACUCUGUGUACCAUCCGCUGUCUGCUGUAGAUACAAAGCAACAGGAUAAAUAGGUCUGUGGCCUCCAGGUCUUGGAGAGACCUGCCAAUGCUAGAUACUUAGGUCCCCCACUGUCCCCAGUUUCCAGGGCACCAGAUGGGAUUCCUGUGCAGGCAGAAGGCAGGCAUUCCUGCAGGUGGAAGUGACAGAGGCAGGACAAGGGGGUAGAGACAAACUUCCCUGCGGUUACCUUUCUUUUGAAAGGCGCUCUGUGAAAAGAGCAGCCACCCAGCCAGCAGCUGUGACGUGGAGGGGUUCUGGGCUAGCAGCGAAGGGCUCCCCCUCUGACCACUGCCCAAACCUCUCCUCAGGUGGGGAGAAGACAGUCGCUGUAAUUAACAGGACUGUGAUCUAAGCAGGAUCUAUCUGAUAACACAACUUAUUACUAUCACAACAGCUCAUGUGAUCACACGACAUGGGCACUGUCUUAACCACUGAGUUCAGAAAAGUAAUUGCCCGAUUCUCCUGGUUAAUUAUUCAUCUUCUUUUUUUAAAAAAUUUUUUUAUUAUUAUUCAUCUUAAGUGACGGAGGACAUCCAGAGCAGAGUCAGGGCUACUCGGACUCUGGGAGGUCAGUGACCUUCUGACUGCAGACAGAAUGUUGAAAACAUUGCAAACUAAUCCAAACCCAUUUUUUAGAGACUUCAGGAAAAAAGUUUAGACUUUGCUGUACCCCAAGUCCUCAAUUUAUAAGAACCCUUCUAGUACCUUGUCUAGUGGUCCGCAAACUUCAGUGUGCAUCUGAAUUACGUGUGGGGGUGGGGGUGGGGCAGUUAGUUCAAAGACAGGUUGCUGGGCCCCAUCCCAUAGUUUCUGAAUUGGCAGGUCCUGAGUGGGGCCUGAGAAUGUGCAAUUCUCACAAGCUCCCAGGUGCUAUUGAUGCUGAGGUUAGUGGAUCACACUGUGGGGACUGCGGUUCUGACUCAACCCUAACUGGACCAAACACUCACAUCCUCGAGAGAACCGAAUCCUAGCCGGCCACUGUUCCCUGGUACCGAAGCACACAGAUGCUUGAAUAACAAUUCACAAGUCCCCUGGUCAUUUUUUCCCCUACGGGCUAAAGAAGAGAAGCUCCCUAACAUCUUAGCACAGGCAUCAUUUUUCAACCCUUUAGUCAUUUCUGAGCUUCUCUGUUGCAGUCUCUCCAAGGUUCUCUCAGUUGUGGAUCCGUGGAAUGAGACCCAGAACCUUAGUCAGCGAUGGGAUGAGCUUGAGUAUAAAGGGAAAAUGACUCACAGAUUCAUACCCGUCCUCCUAUUUAUUAAUCUCCAAUACCCGAGCUCACCUUUUUUACUGCCUCUGAUUCACAGCCUUCUGACUCCUCUGAGAGCUGCAAUAACGCUGAGUUGGCCUUCGAAACACCUUUCUUCUGAGCAGUUCAAGGCACUUCCCUAAUUUAACAGUUGACUCAACCUCCCAAACCAGAAUGGGGCUAAGUAACUAGUUCGGGAAUAUUUCAGUUUCAAAGGGAGAGAAAAUCUGGAACCCCAAUUCGUACUUCCACCCCAAGAGCACUCUAUGGAGAAAAGACACUGCCUGCCUUUUAGACGCAUCAUGUCUCUUGCUCUACAGAACAGCAACAGUCCAGGUGCAGGCGGAAACUCCUGAGCCUCCUCCCAGUGCCGGGGAUCAUCACAGGGAACUGGGGCUGUGGGUCAGGCCCGGGAGGCCGUCCUCGCCCCCACCUCCACCCCUUCCCAGGAACAGGGAAGGCAGUGCCCGGUGGCUCUGCCCCUGGCAAAAGGCCAGAUGAACUGAAAGGUGGCCUGAGGGCGACCCCGGACCUUCCCUGCUCACCCUGUUCUCCUCUCCUUCCUUCCAUUCUUGGCUCUGCCAGCUCACUCGAUGUGUAAGUCAGCUCUGGGGCCCGCCUACUUCGAGCACGAGGGUUCUUGGCGAGUAGGCACCAUCGCUUCCUUUGUGCAUUGUUUGGCUCUGGGGGCGCUUACUACAGCUGAACAGUAACAGUGCCCCAGCAUUUCCAGGAGCCCUCAGAUUCCCUGCCCGGGGGCUGGGUCCUACGACCACACCCUGUGCCCUAGAUGGCAGAGCCCAAGCCCACCCCCCGCCCCCGCUGCUCCAGAUAGAACGUGGAAACUCAGCAUUGAGCCUGAGCCCUGCAACAUUUCCUUCUGGGAGAGAACAUUCCAGAGCUGUGGUCCCUGAGCAGCUCCAAACCAAAAGGGAAGCUGGGGAGUUCCCGUCGUAGCUCAGUGGUAACAAACCCGACUAGAAUCCAUGAGGAUACGGGUUCGAUCCUUGGCCUCACUCAAUGUGCUAAGGAUCCGGCGUUGCCAUGAGCUGCGGUGUAGAUCACAGAUGUGGCCUGAAUCUGGCAUUGCUGUGGCUGUGGUACAGGCUGGCAGCUAUAGAUCCGAUUCGACCCCUAGCCUGGGAACUUGCAUAUCCUGCAGGUGCGGCCCUGAAAGAAAAGAAAAAAAAAAAAAAAAAAACUAAUUGCAAGCUGGUGAUAACAGAAGUUCCCAUCCAGCCACAGUGCCCCAUGGACAGCCGCACGUGGACGCGGGGCAUCCAGAGGAAGGGUCCUCUCCGUCUCCCUGAGCCCCCUUGAGGCUUACAGCAGAUGGCCCUUCUCUAGGAAUCCAGAGCAGUCAGGAGUUCCUCUGUCAGGGCCUCUGGGGCUAGAACUAUUUUGAGAGGGGGAGGAUGAGGACGGGAGGGCGGGCUGCCAGGAGAGCAGGGCACACACGACUGGAGGCAUCAAGUCAAGAGCAGUGUGCCCAGCACACAGCUGAAGCCACAGGCUCCGGCCACAGCCCAGAGCUACCCAGGUUUCUCGGCAUCUGGAUUCCCGUGGGAGGCUGAGGUGAUCCACAAAGCCUCUUCUCAGGAGGGGACUGUGACCGUAGCAGGGAGGAGCAUCAUCACGGGCAAACAGGAGAGAGUCCCACCCCGACCCUGACAUCAUGGAAACGUGCUCCUCUGCCUCUAUCACUGUUUCACAGCGCGCGUAAAUCACCAAGGCAACAGGCUGCAAGUGGUGAUGAGCAUUUCAGCAACUCCUCCUAAAAGAACACAGGCUUCCUCAUGGUGCAAACACCUCUGGAAACUCCUUUUGUUAAAUUAAAAACUAGAUGGCUCUUAAACAGCUUUUCUUUUCCACAGGACUAAACUACAACGGAGCAGAUGAAUAACAGCUUGAAAAUGAGCUCAUGUCCAACUACAGCACACCUCUAAAGCCUGGCAUUCUGAUGGUGCCUUGGUAACAGUUAACAGAAGAACAGUUAGUUCCUUUGGAUAAAAGUAUAUACUCUGAAGGACACGCUCAUCGGCCCUUGAACGGCUGAAGAUGACAUUACAGACUUUGCCGUUAUAAUUGCCAGGGAUCUGGGCGGCACACUUCUCUUCGGCUCAAUAAAAAGGCUUAAGGUUUUUUUUUUUUUUUUUUUUUUUUUAAGUUUCUUUCUAAAAAUAGCCCAAGAACUCAGUUCUCUUUUUCCUUCUUACAUUCUUGUCCUACUAACUGUGCCACUGAAACAUUUCCUUUCAUUGUUGGCACCUUGGGUCGUUGGGAUUUAAAAAUCAGACAAUACAUAACAACAAAGAAGUCUUUAAAUGCAGCUUUCCAAAUGGAAAAUGGCAUCUAAGGGCAUGCCUUCCUCUAGGCCCACAGAUACUGGAGCCCUGAGGUCUGGGGAACAGCAAAGACACCACCCAUUAGAGUCGGUGCCUUAAAAUCCACAUUCCCAGAGGGGAGAUAAUUUACCCGUUAAUGGAUUAAGAAAUUCCUGUCGGUUCCCUGUCAUAAGCAAGCUGUUUGGCAUGAAGUCAGAGUCCUUGGAAUUAAAACACUUCAAACUUUAGCAAAGGUGAUUAAGACUCAACUCAAAAUAUUUAUUCUAGGUUAAAAUCUUUAGGUUUCUUCAGUCCAAAUUUAAAUUGGCAGCAACGUGUUAAAUCAAGAGCAGAGUCAGGAUUAGGGAAUUCCAUGACCUUUGAUUAAUUGCGAUUACUAAAUCCAUCUUCCAGAGGAUGCGUUCAAUUACUAGCCAAAGGCAUCCUCCUAAAUUUACCUUUAUUUUUUUAAGAGCUUCUCUUUAGGAGUAGGAGGGUCUGUUUUUAAGGACAACAAUCCUCCUUAAAAAGAAAAAACUCGCCAUCUGCAUAUUUUACAAAAUCACAUUUGACACUCUCAUUAUUUCUGCACAUAAACUUGUAGCUCACGGUAAGUACAAUUCCACAGGAAUUUUUAACAUGUUUUUUCCUCUAAGAGUUAGGUUACCAUUGAAAAUAAAGCUCAUUAACACACCACUCUAUUAACCAAAGAUUUUAACUGGUAAAAUAUAUAAUAAUCCACAGGUUGCUUUUGCAAAGAUAAAAAUAGUAAGAAUCAAAUACUUUCUCCUAGGCAAACUGAGUAAGGCAGGUUUCUUGCAGCAGAAUACGUUUCAGGAAAAAAACCUUUCGGCUCCAUUCUUAGAACACCCUCAAGUACCCAUCCCAGAGUUUCCAGUUUCCCCGAGAGAGAGAAAAAAAAAUUACUACAUUCACUCAGUACUUACAAAGUACUUUCAAAGGAAAUCGGAGCUGCAAUUCUUCAGAAGACUGCUCCU
rnacentral:lncRNA from 1 species